UAGUCUGCAACCCGACUACACGAAGCUGGAAUCGCUAGUAAUCACGAAUCAGAAUGUCGCGGUGAAUACGUUCCCGGGUCUUGUACACACCGCCCGUCACACCAUGGGAGUCGGGAAUGCCCGAAGUCAGUGACCCAACCUUUGGAGGGAGCUGCCGAAGGCAGGUCUGAUAACUGGGGUGAAGUCGUAACAAGGUAGC
rnacentral:rRNA from 1 species